GUAGGUGGCAAGCGUUGUCCGGAAUUAUUGGGCGUAAAGCGCGCGCAGGCGGUCCUUUAAGUCUGAUGUGAAGGCCCACGGCUCAACCGUGGAGGGUCAUUGGAAACUGGGGGACUUGAGUACAGGAGAGGAAAGCGGAAUUCCAAGUGUAGCGGUGAAAUGCGUAGAGAUUUGGAGGAACACCAGUGGCGAAGGCGGCUUUCUGGUCUGUAACUGACGCUGAGGCGCGAAAGCGUGGGGAGCAAACAGGGAUUAGAUACCCUGGUAGUCCACGCCGUAAACGAUGAGUGCUAGGUGUUAGGGGGUUUCCCGCCCCUUAGUGCUGCAGCUAACGCAUUAAGCACUCCGCCUGGGGAGUACGGCCGCAAGGCUG
rnacentral:rRNA from 1 species